rfam:Scleropages formosus scaffold177, whole genome shotgun sequence.
CUAUAUAUACCCUGUAGAACCGAAUUUGUGUGAAGAAAUCUCGGUCACAGAUUCGAUUCUAGGGGAGUAUAUGGU